UACAGAGGGGGCAAGCGUUAUUCGGAAUUAUUGGGCGUAAAGGGCGCGUAGGCGGCUUGGCAAGUGGAUGGUGAAAUCCCUCGGCUUAACCGAGGAACUGCCAUCCAGACUGCUUUGCUUGAGGCCGGGAGAGGUGAGUGGAAUUCCCGGUGUAGCAGUGAAAUGCGUAGAGAUCGGGAGGAACAUCCGUGGCGAAGGCGACUACCUGGACCAGCACUGACACUGAGGCACGAAAGCGUGGGGAGCAAACAGG
rnacentral:rRNA from 1 species